GGCUUUAUGGUCGAAUGGUAAGGACACUUGUCUGUCACCUUGGAGUCCCGGAUUCAAUCCCCGGUCAAGAAGCUA